rnacentral:rRNA from 1 species
GACGAACGCUGGCGGCGUGCCUAAUACAUGCAAGUAGAACGCUGAAGCUUGGUGCUUGCACCGAGCGGAUGAGUUGCGAACGGGUGAGUAACGCGUAGGUAACCUGCCUCUUAGCGGGGGAUAACUAUUGGAAACGAUAGCUAAUACCGCAUAAAAGUCGACAUCGCAUGAUGUUGACUUGAAAGGUGCAAUUGCAUCACUAAGAGAUGGACCUGCGUUGUAUUAGCUAGUUGGUGAGGUAACGGCUCACCAAGGCGACGAUACAUAGCCGACCUGAGAGGGUGAUCGGCCACACUGGGACUGAGACACGGCCCAGACUCC